rnacentral:rRNA from 1 species
GACGAACGCUGGCGGCGUGCUUAACACAUGCAAGUCGAACGGAAAGGCCCUGCUUUUGUUGGGUGCUCGAGUGGCGAACGGGUGAGUAACACGUGAGUAACCUGCCCUUGACGUUGGGAUAACUUCAGGAAACUGGGGCUAAUACCGGAUAGGAGCUCCUGCUGCAUGGUGGGGGUUGGAAAGUUUCGGCGGUUGGGGAUGGACUCGCGGCUUAUCAGCUUGUUGGUGGGGUAGUGGCUUACCAAGGCUUUGACGGGUAGCCGGCCUGAGAGGGUGACCGGCGACAUUGGGACUGAGAUACGGCCCAGACUCCUACGGGAGGCAGCAGUGGGGAAUAUUGCACAAUGGGCGGAAGCCUGAUGCAGCAACGCCGCGUGCGGGAUGACGGCCUUCGGGUUGUAAACCGCUUUCGCCUGUGACGAAGCGUGAGUGACGGUAAUGGGUAAAGAAGCACCGGCUAACUACGUG